CACAAGUAGGAUUGACAGAUUGAGAGCUCUUUCUUGAUUUUGUGGGUGGUGGUGCAUGGCCGUUCUUAGUUGGUGGAGUGAUUUGUCUGCUUAAUUGCGAUAACGAACGAGACCUUAACCUGCUAAAUAGCCCGUAUUGCUUUGGCAGUACGCUGGCUUCUCAGAGGGACUAUCGGCUCAAGCCGAUGGAAGUUUGAGGCAAUAACAGGUCUGUGAUGCCCUUAGAUGUUCUGGGCCGCACGCGCGCUACACUGACACAGCCAGCGAGUUCUCCCUUGGCCGGAAGGUCCGGGUAAUCUUGUUAAACUGUGUCGUGC
rnacentral:rRNA from 1 species